GGCCCCUCCGGGGGUACACGAGCGGCGAACGGGUGAGUAACACGUGAGCAACCUGCCCCUGACUCCGGGAUAAGCGGUGGAAACGCCGUCUAAUACCGGAUACGACCUUCCGGCUCAUGCCGGAGGGUGGAAAGUUUUUUCGGUUGGGGAUGGGCUCGCGGCCUAUCAGCUUGUUGGUGGGGUAAAGGCCUACCAAGGCGAUUACGGGUAGCCGGCCUGAGAGGGCGACCGGCCACACUGGGACUGAGACACGGCCCAGACUCCUGCGGGAGGCAGCAGUGGGGAAUCUUGCGCAAUGGGCGAAAGCCUGACGCAGCGACGCCGCGUGGGGGAUGACGGCCUUCGGGUUGUAAACUCCUUUUACCACUCACGCAGGCUCCCAGUUCUCUGGGGGUUGACGGUAGGUGGGGAAUAAGGACCGGCUAACUACGUGCCAGCAGCCGCGGUAAUACGUAGGGUCCGAGCGUUGUCCGGAAUUAUUGGGCGUAAAGAGCUCGUAGGCGGCGUGUCGCGUCUGCUGUGAAAGACCGGGGCUCAACUCCGGUUUUGCAGUGGAUACGGGCAUGCUAGAGGUAGGUAGGGGAGACUGGAAUUCCUGGUGUAGCGGUGGAAUGCGCAGAUAUCAGGAGGAACACCGGUGGCGAAGGCGGGUCUCUGGGCCUUACCUGACGCUGAGGAGCGAAAGCAUGGGGAGCGAACAGGAUUAGAUACCCUGGUAGUCCAUGCCGUAAACGAUGGGCGCUAGGUGUGGGGACUUUCCACGGUUUCCGCGCCGUAGCUAACGCAUUAAGCGCCCCGCCUGGGGAGUACGGCCGCAAGGCUAAAACUCAAAGGAAUUGACGGGGGCCCGCACAAGCGGCGGAGCAUGUUGCUUAAUUCGACGCAACGCGAAGAACCUUACCAAGGUUUGACAUCACCCGUGGACCUGCAGAGAUGUGGGGUCAUUUA
rnacentral:rRNA from 1 species